rnacentral:tRNA from 1 species
GGGGAUUUAGUUCAGUGGUAGAGCACUUGCCUAGGAAGCGCAAGGCCCUGGGUUCGAUCCCCAGCUCCA